UCACAAAAAGCAUUUAUGGGAGCUUGUCCAAGGCCUGAACCCUUUCCAACACGUUCAACACACUCAUGAGAGCUUGACAGGAUGAAUAAAAAACAUAUUUGGCCCAGCUCAGGUCUUGCGUGUGUGUAUGUAUGUGUGUGUGUGUGUGUGUGUGUGUGUGUGUGUGUGUGUGUGUGUGUGUGUGUGUGUGUGUGUGUGUGUGUGUGUGUGCAA
rnacentral:lncRNA from 1 species